rnacentral:lncRNA from 1 species
GGACCCUCAAAGCUCUCAUCUGGGGGCACAAAGUGAAGGGCAGCUCUCUAUUGUGAUAGGAAAACUCUUCUGACAUACUUCCUUUCCAAGCAUGGAUACUGGAAGAGCCAGAUGUCUCCCAGUGGAGACCCUGGCUGCUGCAAACUGAGACUUGCGUUUGAAGCCAUUCUGAGUCACCUUAUCAUAGUAAAACAGCAGCAGGUUCCCCUCCAGAACCCAGAUAGGCAGUCAGGGCCUCCCAGCAGGGAGGAAAUAACCACGUGGCUGAGAUUGAUGCAGUGUGGGGAGGCCCACUGCCUGCGGGAAGCCCAGGCAGCCGCUGAAACAACCCUUCAAGCCAGCAUGAUGAACAUCUCAAGAUGUCAUCUCCCGCACCCAGCGCUGGAGAGGGGGCCUGUUAAAACUAUUUAUAUUCUGCCUGCCAACUAACAGCUUAAUCACACUGCUCCUUUUCUUUGACUUUCAUUCGACAACCACAUUUGCACACCCCAAAGAGCCUCAAAAAGUGGGUCCUGGUGGCU